GGGAAGGCCACCUGCCACCUCUGCAUUACCUGAGGCACUGCCACCUAUGCACACUUUGUUGAUUUUUGUGAGUAAAAACUGAACCUCAAGAACAUACGAUAAUGGGAGAGAGACCACAGAGAGCUGAACCUCAUUCUGACUGAGCAAAGGCCCUAUGAGAAGUUUUGUUUUUGCCUUUUUAAAAAGAUCAAAAUUGGGAUCAUACCUAAUUGGAAUGAAGUUUAAGAAAAAUCAGAACCGAAAGAACCAGUGCACUGGACAUCACGCACCAAUCUGCAACCAGGCAAUUCAAGACCAAAGGCCAAGAAGAUGCUGUCUUGACCAAGAGUAAACUCACCAAAACUUGUCUUGACCAAGAACUGAAGAACAAUCCAGAACUCAGAGAAAUG